rnacentral:rRNA from 1 species
ACUCAAAGGAAUUGACGGGGGCCCGCACAAGCGGCGGAGCAUGCGGCUUAAUUCGAUGCAACGCGAAGAACCUUACCAAGGCUUGACAUACACCGAAAACUCGCAGAGAUGUGGGGUCCUUCGGGGCGGUGUACAGGUGGUGCAUGGUUGUCGUCAGCUCGUGUCGUGAGAUGUUGGGUUAAGUCCCGCAACGAGCGCAACCCUCGUUCCAUGUUGCCAGCACUUCGGGUGGGGACUCAUGGGAGACUGCCGGGGUCAACUCGGAGGAAGGUGGGGAUGACGUCAAAUCAUCAUGCCCCUUAUGUCUUGGGCUGCACGCAUGCUACAAUGGCCGGUACAGAGGGCUGCGAAACCGUGAGGUUGAGCGAAUCCCAAAAAGCCGGUCUCAGUUCGGAUCGGGGUCUGCAACUCGACCCCGUGAAGUCGGAGUCGCUAGUAAUCGCAGAUCAGCAACGCUGCGGUGAAUACGUUCCCGGGCCUUGCACACACCGCCCGU